rnacentral:rRNA from 2 species
ACACGUGGGAAACCUGCCCAGAAGCGGGGGAUAACACCUGGAAACAGAUGCUAAUACCGCAUAACAACUUGGACCGCAUGGUCCGAGUUUGAAAGAUGGCUUCGGCUAUCACUUUUGGAUGGUCCCGCGGCGUAUUAGCUAGAUGGUGGGGUAACGGCUCACCAUGGCAAUGAUACGUAGCCGACCUGAGAGGGUAAUCGGCCACAUUGGGACUGAGACACGGCCCAAACUCCUACGGGAGGCAGCAGUAGGGAAUCUUCCACAAUGGACGAAAGUCUGAUGGAGCAACGCCGCGUGAGUGAAGAAGGGUUUCGGCUCGUAAAACUCUGUUGUUAAAGAAGAACAUAUCUGAGAGUAACUGUUCAGGUAUUGACGGUAUUUAACCAGAAAGCCACGGCUAACUACGUGCCAGCAGCCGCGGUAAUACGUAGGUGGCAAGCGUUGUCCGGAUUUAUUGGGCGUAAAGCGAGCGCAGGCGGUUUUUUAAGUCUGAUGUGAAAGCCUUCGGCUCAACCGAAGAAGUGCAUCGGAAACUGGGAAACUUGAGUGCAGAAGAGGACAGUGGAACUCCAUGUGUAGCGGUGAAAUGCGUAGAUAUAUGGAAGAACACCAGUGGCGAAAGCGGCUGUCUGGUCUGUAACUGACGCUGAGGCUCGAAAGUAUGGGUAGCAACAGAUUAGAUACCCUGGUAGUCCAU